rnacentral:rRNA from 1 species
AGCGAACGCUGGCGGCAGGCUUAACACAUGCAAGUCGAGCGGGCGUAGCAAUACGUCAGCGGCAGACGGGUGAGUAACGCGUGGGAACAUACCUUUUGGUUCGGAACAACACAGGGAAACUUGUGCUAAUACCGGAUAAGCCCUUACGGGGAAAGAUUUAUCGCCGAAAGAUUGGCCCGCGUCUGAUUAGCUAGUUGGUGAGGUAACGGCUCACCAAGGCGACGAUCAGUAGCUGGCUGAGAGGAUGAUCAGCCACAUUGGGACUGAGACACGGCCCAAACUCCUACGGGAGGCAGCAGUGGGGAAUAUUGGACAAUGGGCGCAAGCCUGAUCCAGCCAUGCCGCGUGAGUGAUGAAGGCCCUAGGGUUGUAAAGCUCUUUGUGCGGGGAAGAUAAUGACGGUACCGCAAGAAUAAGCCCCGGCUAACUUCGUGCCAGCCGCCGCCGUAAU